rnacentral:rRNA from 1 species
CGGGUGAGUAAUACGUAGGUGACCUGCCUUGAAGUGGGGGAUAACGACUGGAAACGGUUGCUAAUACCGCAUGAGACCAAUUCGCUGGGAAGUGGGAUGGUGAAAACUCUGGUGCUUCAAGAGGGGCCUGCGGCCGAUUAGCUAGUUGGCGGGGUAAGAGCCCACCAAGGCGACGAUCGGUAGCUGGUCUGAGAGGACGAUCAGCCACACGGGAACUGAGACACGGUCCCGACUCCUACGGGGGGCAGCAGUGAGGAAUAUUGCGCAAUGGGCGAAAGCCUGACGCAGCAACGCCGCGUGAGGGACGAAGGCCUUCGGGUCGUAAACCUCUUUUCUGGGGAAAGAGCAAGGACGGUACCUCAGGAAUAAGUCUCGGCUAACUACGUGCCAGCAGCCGCGGUAAAACGUAGGAGGCGAGCGUUAUCCGGACUUACUGGGCGUAAAGCGCACGCAGGCGGCUUCGUUAGUCGGGUGUGAAAGCUCCUAGCUUAACUGGGAGAGGCCAUUCGAUACUGCGAGGCUUGAGGUUGGGAGAGGGGUGUGGAAUUCCCGGUGUAGUGGUGGAAUGCGUAGAUAUCGGGAGGAACACCUGUGGCGAAAGCGGCACCCUGGCCCACACCUGACGCUGAGGUGCGAAAGCGUGGGGAGUAAACAGGAUUAGAUACCCUGGUAAUCCACGCUGUAAACGAUGUCAACUGGGUGUCGGUAGCUUUACGCUAUCGGUGCCGAAGCAAA